rnacentral:rRNA from 1 species
AAGCGUUGUUCGGAAUUACUGGGCGUAAAGGGCUCGUAGGCGGCCAACUAAGUCAGACGUGAAAUCCCUAGGCUCAACCUAGGAACUGCGUCUGAUACUGGAUGGCUUGAAUCCGGGAGAGGGAUGCAGAAUUCCAGGUGUAGCGGUGAAAUGCGUAGAUAUCUGGAGGAAUACCGGUGGCGAAGGCGGCAUCCUGGACCGGCAUUGACGCUGAGGAGCGAAAGCCAGGGGAGCAAACGGG